rnacentral:rRNA from 1 species
UAUGCUUAGGGCUACACACGUGCUACAAUGGGUAGUACGGAGGGUUGCCAAGCCGUAAGGUGGAGCUAAUCCCUUAAAGCUACUCUCAGUUCGGAUUGUAGGCUGAAACUCGCCUACAUGAAGCUGAAGUUACUAGUAAUCGCAGAUCAGAAUGCUGCGGUGAAUGCGUUCCCGGGUCUUGUACACACCGCCCGUCACACCACGGGAGUUGGGGACGCCCGAAGCCGAUUAUCUAACCUUUUGGAAGAAGUCGUCGAAGGUGGAAUCAAUAACUGGGGUGAAGUCGUAACAAGGUAGCCGUAUCGGAAGGUGCGGCUGGAUCACCUCCUUUCUAAGGAGA